rnacentral:tRNA from 1 species
GCGCCGCAACGGCGGGUGCCGGUGCUGACGGGCGGUUAGAAACCGUUCUGGCUGGCGUCUUGUUUUCGAACGGCGAUGCGGCACGC